UGAGGAAUAUUGGUCAAUGGGGGCAACCCUGAACCAGCCAAGUCGCGUGAAGGAUGAAGGUCUUAUGGAUCGUAAACUUCUUUUACACGGGAAUAAAGCGGGGGACGUGUCCCUCUUUGCAUGUACCGUGUGAAUAAGGAUCGGCUAACUCCGUGCCAGCAGCCGCGGUAAUACGGAGGAUCCGAGCGUUAUCCGGAUUUAUUGGGUUUAAAGGGUGCGCAGGCGGGAUGUUAAGUCGGCGGUGAAAUUUUGCAGCUCAACUGUAAAAGUGCCUUCGAUACUGGCUUCCUUGAGUGUGGAUGAAGUAGGCGGAAUUUGUGGUGUAGCGGUGAAAUGCUUAGAUAUCACGAGGAACUCCGAUUGCGCAGGCAGCUUACUAAGCCACAACUGACGCUCAUGCACGAAGGCGUGGGGAUCAAACA
rnacentral:rRNA from 1 species